UUCUAAUAUGGCAGAUUAGUGCGAUGGAUUUAAGCCCCGUAUAUAAAGUUUAUGCUUUUUUUAGAAAA
rnacentral:tRNA from 1 species